GAUGAAGAACGCAGCAAAAUGCGAUAAGUAAUGUGAAUUGCAGAAUUCAGUGAAUCAUCGAAUCUUUGAACGCACAUUGCGCCCGCUGGUAUUCCGGCGGGCAUGCCUGUUCGAGCGUCAUUUCAACCCUCAAACCCCCCGGGUUUGGUGUUGGGGAUCGGCUCUGCCUCACGGCGGUGCCGCCCCCGAAAUACAUUGGCGGUCUCGCUGCAGCCUCCAUUGCGUAGUAGCUAACACCUCGCAACUGGAACGCGGCGCGGCCAUGCCGUAAAACCCCAACUUCUGAAUGUUGACCUCGGAUCAGGUAGGAAUACCCGCUGAACUUAAGCAUAUCGAUAAGCGGAGGA
rnacentral:misc_RNA from 1 species